rnacentral:misc_RNA from 1 species
GAGUAGGUAGCCAUAAUACUCCAUCUUUUGUAAAGACAAAAACAAUUGGGAUUUAAGUCUACCCUGGUCGAGUAGGGUAGCCAUAAGAGAACAACAAUGGGGAUUUAAGUCUGGGUGCCCAUUCCCAUGUUGGUGUUAUUAGGAUUGGAUAUGAAAUGUUGUGAGAUUUUUGCAAGGAAGCAUCUCAUGAUUACUACAAAAAUCUCCUGCUGCUCAUUUGGUACGUGUACUAGACAAUUUCAAUCUUUAUAAAAUGUCAUCACAUCUCGUGGACCUGAGAGAAUUGGAG